CCGUAGCCCAAGAGAUCGGGAUAACACCUGGAAACAGAUGCUAAUACCGGAUAACAACAGAUGAUGCCUAUCAACUGUUUAAAAGAUGGUUCUGCUAUCACUCUUGGAUGGACCUGCGGUGCAUUAGCUAGUUGGUAGGGUAACGGCCUACCAAGGCGAUGAUGCAUAGCCGAGUUGAGAGACUGAUCGGCCACAUUGGGACUGAGACACGGCCCAAACUCCUACGGGAAGCAGCAGCU
rnacentral:rRNA from 1 species